rnacentral:lncRNA from 1 species
AUGGCCACGGCUGCCUCCUCAAAGCCACAAGGUACCGGGUGUGGGCGGCAGUGCCAGGGCUGCGCUGCGAAGGCAGCGGGCCCUCUGCCCCUAUCAGCAUUGCCAUCAGCCUGCACCUUCCUGCUGCCUGCGAGCCUGGGGCUGGCUCCUGUGCAGGAGGGAAGUCAGAACGUGCACCCUGGCUCGGUGUCUGCUGCAUUACGGUGUGAGAUUCUUUGCUGCUGCUGCUUUCGAAGGAAAUGUUGGACAGCCUACAUCCUGCAACAUUACUAAUCAGGUAAAUUAUGUCCUUGUUGACCUUCAGGGCUCUCCUCUUUACUAACUGUUCAAAAGUUGUCUCGUUUCUCUGUUCUUGAUUUAGUGGUCAAAAUUAAAUAUACUGGGCUACACUGAUAUCUUACUAAAAUUUAUUUGUCAUUUUCCCACCUUUUUCAGUGUAACAACUUUCAUCAAGCCUAAAUUAUAAUUGUAGUCUCCCACUCCAUAGUAGCACAUAGUACAUGUGAUGCUUCUUAAGCCUGUGAGUGAUGAUCAGUGCUGCUGCUCAUGUUGUACAUGAGACACUAGUGAGAUGACCAGAGCACUUUUCACACACCAUCCUCUUCAUAUAAGAAGAAAUCUCACGUAUUUUAUAUUGAUACAUAUACUAUUCAGUGUUUUAAAAGUAAAAACAGAUGGGAAGAAUCUUGAGAAGCGUGUCUGUU